CCCUUAGAUGUUCUGGGCCGCACGCGCGCUACACUGACGAUGGCAACGAGUUUUUCCUUCGCCGAAAGGUGUGGGUAAUCUUUUGAAACAUCGUCGUGCUGGGGAUAGAUCAUUGCAAUUUUUGAUCUUGAACGAGGAAUUCCUAGUAAGCGCGAGACAUCAGCUCGCGUUGAUUACGUCCCUGCCCUUUGUACACACCGCCCGUCGCUACUACCGAUUGAAUGGUUUAGUGAGGACUCCUGAUUGGCGCCGCCGCCCCGGCAACGGAGCAGCGGACUGCCGAAAAGUUGUUCAAACUUGAUCAUUUAGAGGAAGUAAAAGUCGUAACA
rnacentral:rRNA from 1 species